ensembl:lncRNA
GAACUCCUGGUAUGGAGAGAAAAGACAUGCUAUUAUAGGGUAGGGGUAGGAGAGGAAGGAAGAAACUUCCAGAGAGUGACUGCCAGGCACAAAACUAGACACCCUCAUUAAUAGGUCUUUUUGAAAUUCUGUGAAGUAAAAGGAAGAAAGGAAACUGUGCUGCCUCAACUUUCUUACUCUGUCUCUAGUUAGUUAUCCCAGUGCUGAGAGGCAGAUGCGAAAAUAAGAAAUGAUGAGGUGUUUUUUCCAGAGUGAUUUCUGAGCCCCAAGAAGAUGCCCUUCGAGUGAAGUGAAUGUGAGGUCUUGGGAGGAAGCUGGUUAAUGUCCUCUUGUUAUUUCAUCUUCACUUUGCCAAUCAAGAUCAGGAUGCCUUCCAAAG